UAAAUGCAAACUCCCUGUUUAACAGGAAAGAUUGGGAGCUGCUGGCCCUCUCCUGCUUGCGCUCUCCGUUGCGUAAAGAAACUGCCUAGUAGGAAAGGCCUGAUGCUUGGGUUACCUGGCUUGGCAUGAAACAGCAGUGAUCUUACCACAGCUUUGCUCUCACAAGAUACCUUCUUCAUGAGUUUAAGGUAAAUCCUCUGCAGAAAUUACAAAGUUUCCCUCUCUGAGGAUGCGUAAAGAAUAUCGUUUGGGCCGAGGAGAUGGAAGGAUUUCAUGUGAUGGGAGGAGAAAACACCCUUGAAACAAAGGGACUCUUCUGAAGCAAAGCUGGAGAAGCCCCCAUGCUUCCCCUCCCUCCCCUGGCAAAGGUACCAGCAGGCCACCAUUGUCCUCACUGUGAAAUUGCCUUUGGCUGCUGUGGAAAUGAGCAUGGUGCUGCUGACACGUCGAUUUUACUUCAGGUGGGAAGCGAGCAGCAGGUGAAUCCUGCAGAUAAAGAUCCGGACUUUAGGCAAAUGUGCCCUGCGCUGAAAAGCCGAGGAAGUAAAGAUCAGAAAAUGACCCAUACUGUGGACAGGUGGAGAGUUUGUAGGCAUGCUCGGUUUGCUGGAGUCAGACUGAUUCCUCCCUUGAUGCCACUUUCUUCUUUCCAUCCUGUGAAUGUUUUGAGAAAAGCUGUGAUUGCAGCAUUGCUGUGCAGACGGCUUAACGUGGGCUGUUGUUCUGAAGCACAGCUGU